GAGUAUUGAGCAGUCAGACCUACAAAGCUCUAAAUGAAUCUCUGACUGAAAGAAAACAAGUGUGGGUUUUUUUUGCUAACAGAAUGUGUGUAUAAAAGUUAACUGUAGAAUUUAUGGCUUAACAAUUUAAUUUUUGUUAAGAAUCUGUUUGGAAAUACAUUGCAAAGACUUAAUGUAAAUGGCUGUCUUUCAUUGAGAAACAUUACUUUGUAGAUGUAUUUUCAAUAAAAAUAGUUUUACAUUACUGCUUUUUUGUGAUUUCUUUCAAAGACUCUGAAACAGAAGAAACUUCA
rnacentral:lncRNA from 1 species